rnacentral:rRNA from 1 species
GUGAGGAAUAUUGGUCAAUGGGCGAGAGCCUGAACCAGCCAAGUCGCGUGAAGGAAGAAGGAUCUAUGGUUCGUAAACUUCUUUUGCAGGGGAAUAAAGUGCAGGACGUGUCCUGUUUUGUAUGUACCCUGAGAAUAAGGAUCGGCUAACUCCGUGCCAGCAGCCGCGGUAAUACGGAGGAUCCGAGCGUUAUCCGGAUUUAUUGGGUUUAAAGGGUGCGUAGGUGGUUUGAUAAGUCAGCGGUGAAAGUUUGCAGCUUAACUGUAAAAAUGCCGUUGAAGCUGUCGGACUUGAGUGUAAAUGAUGUAGGCGGAAUGCGUGGUGUAGCGGUGUAAUGCAUAGAUAUCACGCAGAACUCCGAUUGCGAAGGCAGCUUACUAAGCUACAACUGACACUGAAGCACGAAAGCGUGGGGAUCAAACAGGAUUAGAAACCCCGGUAGUCC